AGGCUCCUCCUCCUUUACAGGCAACAGAUGAAAGUGAAACUAUUACAGCAGCAGACAUUUUACUGGGAGAAAAAUAUCUGUUUUUAUUAAAGAUAAGAAGAAUACCGAACAAUGAGUCUCUACAGAAUGCUUAAAAGUUUGACUGGUGGACGAUCUCCUGAAUCCAGCUGUGUGUCCAUGAGGAGUGAUGGAUCAAUGGGUGACCCACCUA